rnacentral:lncRNA from 1 species
UACGAUCGAUAAUACUAAGUUCUGCACACUACAGAGCAAUCUGGCAGCAAUGGACGCUUUUGGCUGGAGGAAUGAAAAUGUACGGAUCGGCCUCAAUUUGUUCCUUAUUUCCAAAGGCCAAAAUGGCCUCUUUAUUCCUUAAAAGAAAUAUAUUACUUAAAAAAAACACUGGUUAUACAUCUGAGGGCGCUACAGUAGCCUGGUACUCGGUGAUGUGAGGGAUUGCCGCCUGCAUUGAAUCUGAGGGCCAUAGUAGGCCUGGGGUUUAGGCCUAAAACCCUAAAUCACAACCUAACAUUCAGAAGUCGUUACUCUUUUAGCGCUCUUUCCAUACCUUCCCCGCAGCAACCCGUCUGUGCACCCGUUUUUUUCCUGGAUGGGCUGCAUCUCUUUUUUUCCUGGAUGGGCUGCAUCUCGACGUCCUGACUUGGAGCGUCCUGAGGACCCUGAUUCCCUGGCGCCCAGCAGGUGCUCCGUCUUGUAGCAGCCGGUUCACAACACGGCGCUAUAAAUACGCGCGUAGCGCGACCACCAGCAUCUCGAGAGGCCUUUUCAGCGGCCAGCUGCUACAUUUGGUAUCGAGACCUCGUGAAAUUUCAUCCUGAAGUCGUCGAUUCAACCCCCACCAAUCACGCUUGAGUCGUUACGUUCAGCUGCGGUACUCCUGCUGUCUACCUCGUUUGCUAGUGGAGACUGAGCUAGUGGUGUCUGUUUUAAUGUGCUUGAUGCACUUGUAUGAAUUGGUUUCGCUUCCGUCAGCAAUGUGUGCAUGUUGUAUGACAUGCUUGUGAAGCUGCAGGCUUGGAAGCAGCAGUUGCUAGGGGGUAGGUUUGCUAAGCGGUUCCAGCUCAUGAGUUCAACACACGAAAUAACUGUUGUUCCUGGACCUAUUUUGCGACACCUUUCAGCAUAGUGAUCUCCUUAUCAUUGCAUGUAUGUGUGACUCACACACCAUUAAUCUAAAGUUGGAGGACUCAGCUGGUUGCAUGGAACUGACCACAACCUGGACAAUAUUGACCACCCAUGAGGAUGGUUGAGGCGAACUUGUUCACUACAAUCUUGGUGAGGUUCGGGAAGAACUCCAUCAGCAGCAUGCUGUCGAGCUCCACCCAGCUGCCGCAUCUGUGCCAAAAAAUCUCCUCUUCCUGCUGCCCACUGUGCACGUAGGUGAAGCCGUCAUUCGGCAGCCUAACGUUGACGAAGUCCACAUGCGGUCCUUCCCAGAAGUCCACCAUUGCCAGGUACAGAAUCCCAGUGUGCACAAACUUGAAGUGCUUUGGCCUUCCCCAGGAUGGAGCGCGGGUAAUCAGCUCCUGAGCCGUUUACACUCUGGGAAAAGGGGGGUCAUUUUACCCGUAAUUUUGGGUCAAUCCACCCGUAAUUUGACAGAAAUUACGGGUCCAUAACACGUUACGGGUCCCGUAAUUUGAGCACAAGGAUACAGGUGAACAUUUACGGGUGAAGACCCAGUGAUUACGGGUGGAUUUUACGCGGUGCUGGAGGUUAAUUACGGGCGCAUGUAACCAAUUACACGCAAAAUUACGGGUGAAGACCCAGUGAUUACGGGUGGAUUUUACGCGGUGCUGGAGGUUAAUUACGGGCGCAUGUAACCAAUUACACGCAGAAUUACGGGUGAAGACCCAGUGAUUACGGGUGGAUUUUACGCGGUGCUGGAGGUGAAUUACGGGCGCAUGUAACCAAUUACACGCAAAAUUACGGGUGAAGACCCAGUGAUUACGGGUGAAUAUUACGCGGUGCUGCGGGUAAAUUACGGGGCAUGUAACCAAUUACACAUACAAUUACGGGUGAAGACCCUGUUAUCACGGGUUACACAGGCAGAUAUUACUCUGCGAUGUGACGCUUACUGCAUGUUAAAUUAACGAUUGGUGAAUACUUGUGGCAAGCCUCAAAAUGGACGCACACCCCUUGUCAAAGUAGCCUAAGUCUUUGGACUCACAACGCCAACCAGCCAGCCUGACAGCCUGAUGCAUUCAUCUCAACCAUCGUCCUCGAAAACAGCGUUCAUGUCACCCCCCAUACAGCAAGUGCUCGUCAAGGAGUCUCACCACCACUUGCAGAGUUCGUGCCUACUCCUACGGAAGAAACCCCCGAUGCAUGACAUGUACCGGCGCCGGUACAUAUGCCGGCACCUAUUGGGAUUGGUCUGUCCCAUCCUGCCUGGGGCCGACCUGGUGUGUGCACCCCCAAGUGCUCAUCACUGCUGCCAUGUUACUGCUCACUUCCACCACUGUCACUGCUGCCACUGCCACUGCUGCUGCUGCUAGCUUCGCUAUAUUUGCCCGGGUCCUCCAAGCUGGACUCCUCCCCAGCGCCAGCGGCUAGGACCUCUUCCUCACCAGCAUCCGACCCACCCUCCGAG